rnacentral:rRNA from 1 species
AGUGAACGCUGGCGGCAGGCCUAACACAUGCAAGUCGAACGGCCACACAGUAAGAUCUUGCUCUUACGGUUGGCGGGUGGCGGACGGGUGAGGCAUACAUCAGCAUCUACUUUUUCGUGGGUGAUUACGUAGGGCAACUGACGCUAAUACCUCAUACGAUCUACGGGUGAAAUCAGUGGAGCUUCGCACCUUUCGCGUCUCAAUUAGCCGAUGCCGCAUUAGCUAGUUGGCAUGGUAACGGCCCACCAAGGCAACGAUGCGUAGCUGAUCUGAGAGGAUGAUCAGCCACACUGGAACUGAGACACGGUCCAGACUCCUACGGGAGGCAGCAGUAGGGAAUAUUGCACAAUGGGCGAAAGCCUGAUGGAGCAACGCCGCGUGAGUGAUGAAGGCCUUCGGAUUGUAAAGCUCUGUUAUUGGGGAAGAAAAAAUGCGUAAGAAACCACGGAUGUCUUGACGGUACCCAAUGAGAAAGCAACGGCUAACUUCGUG